rnacentral:RNase_P_RNA from 1 species
CGAGUAAGCAAGACAGCAGCGGGUGCAGGCCGCAAAACGCGGCCAGCCGAAAGGCGGCACAUGAGGAAAGUCCGAGCUUCACAGGGCGGGAUAACUGCUAACGGCAGCCGGAGGCGACUCCAGGGAAAGUGCAACAGAAAGAAACCGCCGGUCCCUUUCGGGCCGGUAAGGAUGGAAAGGCGAGGUAAGAGCUCACCAGCGCCUGGGAGACCAGGCGGCUAUGUAAACCCUAUCCGAAGCAACACCUGUCAGAAAACAAUGCGGCGGCCCGUCGGGUUUUCGGGAUGGUGGCUUGAGCCGGCUGGCAACGGCCGGCCUAGAUAGAUUGUUGUCAAAUACAGAACUCGGCUUAUAUGCUUGGUCGCAGA